rnacentral:rRNA from 1 species
AGUGAACGCUGGCGGUAGGCCUAACACAUGCAAGUCGAACGGCAGCACAGUAAGAGCUUGCUCUUACGGGUGGCGAGUGGCGGACGGGUGAGGAAUACAUCGGAAUCUACUUUUUCGUGGGGGAUAACGUAGGGAAACUUACGCUAAUACCGCAUACGACCUACGGGUGAAAGCAGGGGAUCUUCGGACCUUGCGCGAUUGAAUGAGCCGAUGUCGGAUUAGCUAGUUGGCGGGGUAAAGGCCCACCAAGGCGACGAUCCGUAGCUGGACUGAGAGGAUGAUCAGCCACACUGGAACUGAGACACGGUCCAGACUCCUACGGGAGGCAGCAGUGGGGAAUAUUGGACAAUGGGCGCAAGCCUGAUCCAGCCAUACCGCGUGGGUGAAGAAGGCCUUCGGGUUGUAAAGCCCUUUUGUUGGGAAAGAGAAGCAGCAGGUUAAUACCCCGCUGUUCUGACGGUACCCAAAGAAUAAGCACCGGCUAACUUCGUG